CCAUUGGCCAAGGUCGAGGCGGAGAGAGGUAGCUUGCUACUGAUCUUAGCGGCGGACGGGUGAGUAAUGCUUAGGAAUCUGCCUAUUAGUGGGGGACAACAUUUCGAAAGGAAUGCUAAUACCGCAUACGUCCUACGGGAGAAAGCAGGGGAUCUUCGGACCUUGCGCUAAUAGAUGAGCCUAAGUCGGAUUAGCUAGUUGGUGGGGUAAAGGCCUACCAAGGCGACGAUCUGUAGCGGGUCUGAGAGGAUGAUCCGCCACACUGGGACUGAGACACGGCCCAGACUCCUACGGGAGGCAGCAGUGGGGAAUAUUGGACAAUGGGCGCAAGCCUGAUCCAGCCAUGCCGCGUGUGUGAAGAAGGCCUUAUGGUUGUAAAGCACUUUAAGCGAGGAGGAGGCUACUUUAGUUAAUACCUAGAGAUAGUGGACGUUACUCGCAGAAUAAGCACCGGCUAACUCUGUGCCAGCAGCCGCGGUAAUACAGAGGGUGCAAGCGUUAAUCGGAUUUACUGGGCGUAAAGCGCGCGUAGGCGGCUAAUUAAGUCAAAUGUGAAAUCCCCGAGCUUAACUUGGGAAUUGCAUUCGAUACUGGUUAGCUAGAGUGUGGGAGAGGAUGGUAGAAUUCCAGGUGUAGCGGUGAAAUGCGUAGAGAUCUGGAGGAAUACCGAUGGCGAAGGCAGCCAUCUGGCCUAACACUGACGCUGAGGUGCGAAAGCAUGGGGAGCAAACAGGAUUAGAUCCUUGGGUAAGUCC
rnacentral:rRNA from 1 species